rnacentral:rRNA from 1 species
AAUUAACGCUGGCAGCGUGCAUAACACAUGCAAGUCGAGCGGAACCGGUUGCGAUUACAUCAAGAUCGGUUUAGCGGCAGACGAGUGAGUAACACGUAAGCAACCUGCCCCCAAGUGGCGAAUAACCUUGGGAAACCAGGGCUAAUACGCCGUAUAAUCCCGAAAGGGCAUCCUUUUGGGAUGAUAGGCCCGCAAGGGUCGCUUGGGGAGGGGCUUGCGGCCCAUCAGCUAGUUGGCGGGGUAACGGCCCACCAAGGCUAUGACGGGUACCCGGCCUGAAAGGGCGGACGGGCACGGAGGCACUGAGACACGGGCCUCACUCCUACGGGAGGCAGCAUG